GGCUAACGCAGGGAACUGAAACAUCUAAGUACCUGCAGGAAAAGAAAUCAACCGAGAUUCCCUUAGUAGUGGCGAGCGAACGGGGACUAGCCCUUAAGUGGCUUUGAGAUUAGCGGAACGCUCUGGAAAGUGCGGCCAUAGUGGGUGAUAGCCCUGUACGCGAAAAGGUCUUAGAAGUGAAAUCGAGUAGGACGGAGCACGAGAAACUUUGUCUGAAUAUGGGGGGACCAUCCUCCAAGGCUAAAUACUACUGACUGACCGAUAGUGAACUAGUACCGUGAGGGAAAGGCGAAAAGAACCCCGGCGAGGGGAGUGAAACAGAACCUGAAACCGUGUACGUACAAGCAGUGGGAGC
rnacentral:rRNA from 1 species